GUCCUAGGACAAAUUGUAUCUGAAAUAUUUUAUCCUAGGAUCAUAAUAUUAUGCAUAUAUAGACUAUUUUGAUAAGGAAAAUUUACUUAGCACUCAGUAUUAAUAAUAAUAAUAAUAAUAAUAAUACAUUUCAUUAUCGCACAAUAAUUGUCUUCAUGCAACUUUUACAACAAUUACAUGACCAAACAUAGUCCUUAUCAGUCCAAACAUCUUCUGGUAUUUGUUCACACUCUACGUGAUACCACUCCUUACAUUGAGAACAUUUUACCAUUCUUCCUUCAUUACUAUAGGUUGUCUGCACAGGCAGUAUAUAGGUAACCUGUAUUCUUUGGAUAGUCCAGGGCAUCUAGCUCUUAAACAAGUAGAAAACAAAGACAUCACAUUCUUUUCUAAGCAUUAUAAAAGAUGGAAACGAAGCUUAUGUGAAAUAUAGCUGCAAGAAGUUGGGUCUUAACCAGCACAAAUUGACACUGCUAAAGCAAGGGCACAUAAACCACAAUCUUAUUGUCCAUUUUGCCUUAAUUUGCAUACUAGGAACAGUCACUUUAAUUCCCUGUACUCGGUGCAUUUCAGUAUUGCUGCUAUCUGCUCCCUGGUACGUUUAUCAAUACCAUCACUGGGCAAGCUAUCAUAUAUCAGUUUGUUAUAAUUAAUGCUUUGAUUUAAUUAUUCAAAUCAUGAAUACAGAUGCAUAUACAUACUGAGUUUGUCUACAAAAGCACAGAUAUCAUACUACGUACAUACAUAUAUACACAUAACUAACUAAACUAUUUAAAAUACACAAAACACCUACACUAUCAUGAUAUAGUUGACCAUUCAGUCAUCUUGGUCUGGUAAUACAGCGGUUCAGCCCAAACGCAACCGUCAAUAACCGGAAGCAGUUUCCUUGCAGCGGAAAUAGGUGUGAGUCAUGAAAAUGGCUGCUAAUGAGGGAAUUGGAGUAUCACGAAUUUAUCUGCAAUGUAGAGUACAAGGAGCAAAUUUUCCUUUCUUGUACUUACAUCCAUGCAUCACUGAAUUGGUCCUGUGACUGUCUUUUACUGUAUUUCCAUCAUUCAGGAUCCGCCCACUCUCAUUAUUACUUAUUGUAUACACAGUAUUUAUUGAAGAAGGGUUUCUCAUUGGAGGACAGUGAUAAAUAGUAUAUCAUAUAGGAGUCCCAUUAACCACCUAGAGAGCAAUUCAUUGCUUGCCAGUUAAUUCAUGUUAGACUAACUCGACUGUUUUAUAUUUUGAUAUAUAAAUUACAACAUUCUUAA